UGGGGAAUAUUGGGCAAUGGGCGAAAGCCUGACCCAGCGACGCCGCGUGGGUGAUGAAGGCCUUCGGGUCGUAAAGCCCUGUCAGAAGGAAAGAACGAUUUUGUGGUAAAUAUCCACAAGAUGUGACGGUACCUUCGAAGGAAGCACCGACCAAUUCCGUGCCAGCAGCCGCGGUAAGACGGAAGGUGCAAGCGUUGCUCGGAAUCACUGGGCGUAAAGGGUGCGUAGGCGGCUUCUUAAGUCUGGUGUGAAAGCCCAGGGCUCAGCUCUGGAAGUGCACUAGAUACUGGGAAGCUUGAGUAUCGGAGGGGAGAGUGGAAUUCCUGGUGUAGCGGUGAAAUGCGUAGAUAUCAGGAGGAAUACCGGUGGCGAAAGCGACUCUCUGGACGAUUACUGACGCUGAGGCACGAAAGCGUGGGGAGCAAACAGGAUUAGAUACCCCCGUAGUCCCUGAGCGGGCUGGCAAGGCGCAU
rnacentral:rRNA from 1 species